GAGUUUGAUCCUGGCUCAGGAUGAACGCUGGCUGUGUGCCUAAUACAUGCAUGUCGAGCGGAGUUAGCAAUAACUUAGCGGCAAAUGGGUGAGUAACACGUACUUAACGUACCUUUUAGUUUGACAUAACGGUCGGAAACAACGCUAAUUUAAAUACUUGUGAUUUUCGCAUGAAGAUUACAUUAAAAGGAGCUUUACGGCUUCGCUAAAAGAUCGGGGUGCGCAACAUUAGCUAGUUGGUAGGGUAAUGGCCUACCAAGGCGAUGAUGUUUAGCGGGGUUGAGAGACUGAACCGCCACACUGGGACUGAGAUACGGCCCAGACCUCCUACGGGAGGCAGCAGUAGGGAAUUUUCCACAAUGGACGAAAGUCUGAUGGAGCGACACAGCGUGCCUGAUGAAGGCCUUCGGGUUGUAAAGGGCUGUGGUAAGGGAAGAAAAAGUAGCAUAGGAAAUGAUGUUGCCUUGACGGUACCUUAUUAGAAAGCAACGGCUAACUAUGUGCCAGCAGCCGCGGUAAUACAUAGGUUGCAAGCGUUAUCCGAAAUUAUUGGGCGUAAAGCGUCUGUAGGUUGUUUAUUAAGUCUGACGUUAAAUUUUGGGGCUCAACCCCAACCCGCGUUAGAUACUGGUAGACUAGAGUUAUGUAGAGGUUAGCGGAAUUCCUUGUGAAGCGGUGAAAUGCGUAGAUAUAAGGAAGAACACCAAAAUCGCGAAGGCAGCUAAUCGGACAUAUACUGACACUGAGAGACGAAAGCAUGGGGAGCAAACAGGAUUAGAUACCCUGGUAGUCCAUGCCGUAAACGAUGAUCAUUAGCUAAUGGGGAGCUCAUUGGCGCACGUAACGCAUUAAAUGAUCCGCCUGAGUAGUAUGCUCGCAAGAGUAAAACUUAAAGGAAUUGACGGGGACCCGCACAAGCGGUGGAGCAUGUGGUUUAAUUUGAAGCUACGCGUAGAACCUUACCCACUCUUGACAUCUUCUGCAAAGCUAUAGAGAUAUAGUGGAGGUUAAUAGAAUGACAGAUGGUGCAUGGUUGUCGUCAGCUCGUGUCGUGAGAUGUUUGGUUAAGUCCUGCAAUGAGCGCAACCCUUAUCCUUAGUUACUACAUUUAGUUGAGGACUCUAAGGAGACUGCCCAAGUAAUUGGGAGGAAGGUGGGGACGACGUCAAAUCAUCAUGCCUCUUACGAGUGGGGCAACACACGUGCUACAAUGGGCGAUACAAAGAGAUGCAAUAUGGUGACAUGGAGCAAACCUCAAAAAGUCGCUCUCAGUUCGGAUUGAAGUCUGCAACUCGACUUCAUGAAGUCGGAAUCGCUAGUAAUCGUAGAUCAGCUACGCUACGGUGAAUACGUUCUCGGGUCUUGUACACACCGCCCGUCACACCAUGGGAGCUGGUAAUGCCCGAAGUCGGUUUUUUCAAACUGCCUAAGGCAGGACUGGUGACUGGGG
rnacentral:rRNA from 1 species